GUAGUUCGGCAAACAAACCACAGGUUUCUCUAACCUGAGAUCUGAUAGACUCAAGCAGACUUCAAACCUGCUUCAGAGAUAUGUUUCAGCAAUGUUAUAGCCAAAACAUGGUAACAGUGUUACCUUCUUGACGAGUUAGAAAAAUAUUGACACAAUUUUUAUAAUCCAAAAAAAAAUGUUUAACAUGUAGCUUGGCCAAUAAACCACAGGUUUCUCUAACCUGAGGUCUGAUAAACUCAAGCUGUCUUCAAUCUUGCAUCAGAGAUUUGUUUCAGCAACGUUAUAGCCAAAACAUAGUAACAGUGUUAAAUUCUUGAUGCGUUACAAAAAUAUUGAUACAUUUUUUUAUAAUCCAAAAAAAAUGUUUGACAUGUAGCUUGGCCAAUAAACCACAGGUUUCUCUAAUCUGAGAUCUGAUAAACCCAAGAUGUCUUCAAUCUUGUAUCAGAGAUAUGUUUCAGCAAUGUUAUAGCCAAAACAUGGUAACAGUGUUAAAUUCUUGACGAGUUACAAAAAUAUUGAUAUGAUUUUUUAUAAUCCAAAAAAAUGUUUAACAUGUAGCUUGGCCAAUAAACCAUAGGUUUCUCUAAUCUGAGAUCUGAUAAACACAAGCUGUCUUCAAUCUUGUAUCAGAGAUAUGUUUCAGCAAUGUUAUAGCCAAAACAUGGUAACAGUGUUAAAUUCUUGACGAGUUACAAAAAUAUUGAUAUAAUUUUUAUAAUCCACAAAAAUGUUUAACAUGUAGCUUGGCCAAUAAACCAUAGGUUUCUCUAACCUGAGGUCUGAUAAACUCAAGUUGUCUUCAAUCUUGCAUCAGAGAUUUGUUUCAGCAACAUUAUAGCCAAAACAUAGUAACAGUAUUAAAUUCUUGAUGCGUUACAAAAAUAUUGAUACAUUUUUUUAUAAUCCAAAAAAAAUGUUUGACAUGUAGCUUGGCCAAUAAACCACAGGUUUCUCUAACCUGAGGUCUGAUAAACUCAAGCUGUCUUCAAUCUUGCAUCAGAGAUUUGUUUCAGCAACGUUAUAGCCAAAACAUAGUAACAGUGUUAAAUUCAUGAUGCGUUACAAAAAUAUUGAUACAAUUUUUUAUAAUCCAAAAAAAAUUGUUUAACAUGUAGCUUGGCCAAUAAACCACAGGUUUCUCUAAUCUGAGAUCUGAUAAACCCAAGCUGUCUUCAAUCUUGUAUCAGAGAUAUGUUUCAGCAAUGUUAUAGCCAAAACAUGGUAACAGUAUUAAAUUCUUGACGAGUUACAAAAAUAUUGAUAUAAUUUUUAUAAUCCAAAAAAAUGUUUAACAUGUAGCUUGGCCAAUAAACCAUAGGUUUCUCUAACCUGAGGUCUGAUAAACUCAAGUUGUCUUCAAUCUUGCAUCAGAGAUUUGUUUCAGCAACAUUAUAGCCAAAACAUAGUAACAGUAUUAAAUUCUUGAUGCGUUACAAAAAUACUGAUACAUUUUUUUUAUAAUCCAAAAAAAUGUUUAACAUGUAGCUUGGCCAAUAAACCACAGGUUUCUCUAACCUGAGGUCUGAUAAACUCAAGCUGUCUUCAAUCUUGCAUCAGAGAUUUGUUUCAGCAACGUUAUAGCCAAAACAUAGUAACAGUGUUAAAUUCAUGAUGCGUUACAAAAAUAUUGAUACAAUUUUUUAUAAUCCAAAAAAAAUUGUUUAACAUGUAGCUUGGCCAAUAAACCACAGGUUUCUCUAAUCUGAGAUCUGAUAAACCCAAGCUGUCUUCAAUCUUGUAUCAGAGAUAUGUUUCAGCAAUGUUAUAGCCAAAACAUGGUAACAGUAUUAAAUUCUUGACGAGUUACAAAAAUAUUGAUAUAAUUUUUAUAAUCCAAAAAAAUGUUUAACAUGUAGCUUGGCCAAUAAACCAUAGGUUUCUCUAACCUGAGGUCUGAUAAACUCAAGCUGUCUUCAAUCUUGCAUCAGAGAUUUGUUUCAGCAACAUUAUAGCCAAAACAUAGUAACAGUAUUAAAUUCUUGAUGCGUUACAAAAAUACUGAUACAUUUUUUUAUAAUCCAAAAAAAUGUUUAACAUGUAGCUUGGCCAAUAAACCACAGGUUUCUCUAACCUGAGGUCUGAUAAACUCAAGUUGUCUUCAAUCUUGCAUCAGAGAUUUGUUUCAGCAACGUUAUAGCCAAAACAUAGUAACAGUGUUAAAUUCAUGAUGCGUUACAAAAAUAUUGAUACAAUUUUUUUAUAAUCCAAAAAAAAUUGUUUAACAUGUAGCUUGGCCAAUAAACCACAGGUUUCUCUAAUCUGAGAUCUGAUAAACCCAAGUUGUCUUCAAUCUUGUAUCAGAGAUAUGUUUCAGCAAUGUUAUAGCCAAAACAUGGUAACAGUGUUAAAUUCUUGACGAGUUACAAAAAUAUUGAUAUAAUUUUUAUAAUCCA
rnacentral:lncRNA from 1 species